AAGUUUGGGUAGGGGGAAGAGCACCAUUCAAACGUCAUGUGUUGUGCUGUGUGACGUCAAACAAAUGAUAUUACAUUAUUCUCCAUGUACCCAUCACAUAAAAAGUUAAUACUUUCCAAGGUAUUAUAAUAAUCAUAUCUUUGUGAGGCACACUGUUUAGAGAAAUCAUACAAUUUUGGUUAGAAAGACAAUAACUAGGUACCCCGAAAUCAGG